rnacentral:rRNA from 1 species
GACGAACGCUGGCGGCGUGCCUAAUACAUGCAAGUCGAGCGAGACUCUUCGGAGUCUAGCGGCGGACGGGUGAGUAACACGUGGGCAACCUGACUGUAAGACUGGGAUAACACCGGGAAACCGGUGCUAAUACCGGAUAAUCCUUGUUCUCUCCUGAGGAAAAGCUGAAAGUCGGUUUCGGCUGACCCUUACAGAUGGGCCCGCGGCGCAUUAGCUAGUUGGUGAGGUAAAGGCUCACCAAGGCGACGAUGCGUAGCCGACCUGGGAGGGUGAUCGGCCACACUGGGACUGAGACACGUCCCAGACUCCUACGGGAGGCAGCAGUAGGUAAUCUUCCACAAUGGACGAAAGUCUGAUGGAGCAACGCCGCGUGAGUGAUGAAGGCCUUCGGGUCGUAAAGCUCUGUUGUUAGGGAAGAACAAGUACCGGAGUAACUGCCGGUACCUUGGCGGUACCUAACCAGAAAGCCACGGCUAACUACGUGCCAGCAGCCGCGGUAACAC